GAUGAACGCUGGCGGCGUGCCUAAUACAUGCAAGUCGAGCGAACAGACGAGGAGCUUGCUCCUCUGACGUUAGCGGCGGACGGGUGAGUAACACGUGGAUAACCUACCUAUAAGACUGGGAUAACUUCGGGAAACCGGAGCUAAUACCGGAUAAUAUAUUGAACCGCAUGGUUCAAUAGUGAAAGUCGGUUUUGCUGUCACUUAUAGAUGGAUCCGCGCCGCAUUAGCUAGUUGGUAAGGUAACGGCUUAUCAAGGCUACGAUGCGUAGCCGACCUGAGAGGGUGAUCGGCCACACUGGAACGGAGACACGGUCCAGACUCCUACGGGAGGCAGCAGUAGGGAAUCUUCCGCAAUGGGCGAAAGCCUGACGGAGCAACGCCGCGUGAGUGAUGAAGGUCUUCGGAUCGUAAAACUCUGUUAUUAGGGAAGAACAAAUGUGUAAGUAACUAUGCACUUCUUGACGGUACCUAAUCAGAAAGCCACGGCUAACUACGUG
rnacentral:rRNA from 1 species